GAUUGACAGCCCUCGGGCAAGUCAAUAAAUUGGAGGUCUAAACGCAGAAAUUCCCUGUUUUGGACAUUUGGAGCGUCGGAUUGGUUUCUCUCUCUUUUCUCAGGCUUUAAAUUAAGGAAGAAGAUUCGGAACGCAGACACUCCGCUCUCGGACUCUCAUCUGCAGUCUCUUUGGCAAGCAUGGCAAAAGCAAAAGGCAAGGAGAAGCCUGCUGCUUCUGAUGCACCACCAAAACUGGAGACCACUAAUGAUGACACGAAUGCUGAGUUAACUCUGUCUGAGUCAGUGAACAUGGAAAAGGCUGCAAAAAUCACUGCUGAUCCUGGAGGUCAGAAGGCAGAGGAAGGACAUAAGAAAAAAGACAUCGAAGAAGAGAGAAAAGAAGAUACUGAAGAAGAUAAGAAAGAGAAGGUCUAUAAAUGUAACAAAGAGGAGGUAGAAGGAGAUAAGGAAGUCAAGGAUGGAGAAGUGGAAGCUUUAGUAUUCACCAGUGUUGCUCUUCAAAAUGAAGAGGUGGACGAAGCAGAUACAGAGGUUAAAGUUGAUGGAAAAGUAGAAGCUGCCUUUAUUAAAAAGGCCAAGAGGACAAAGAAGAGGAGGAAGAAGAAGGGAGUUGCUGGUACUGCAGCUUCAGUUAAUGCUGAUAAGCCAGGAACUUCAGCUAGUGAGAAGGAUUUGAAGAAGACUGAUGGCAUGGGAUUGAUUUUUAUGUGCAAUGCUAAGACUAGGAAGGAUUGCUACCAAUUCAAGGUUUUAGGUUUGCCUGCAAGCAAGAAGGAGAUAGUAGCAAAGGUUUAUAAGGGUAUGAGAUUGUUUCUGUUUGAUGUUGAUCUUAAGCUGAUGUAUGGGAUUUAUAAAGCUGCCAGUCCUGGGGGCUAUAAUAUUGAACCCAAGGCAUUCAAGUCAAAAUUCCCAUCUCAGGUUCGUUUCACGGUGCUUGAUGAUUGCUUACCCCUCCCAGAAGAGAAGUUCAAAGCAGUAAUAAAAGUAAAUUAUUAUGAGAAGAACAAGUUUAAUUGUCAACUCUCGCAUGAACAGGUGAAAAACUUAUGCAAGCUUUUCCGCAAUACAACUAAGGCCUCUAAGCAGAAGCGCCGUGAUGAGGUCAGCAGAGAAGGGCUGAGUUCCAUCAAUGAAAUCCAACGUAGAAGGCUGUCAUAUGGCAUUUUGCAGCACUCCACAGUUGAUGGAAGUGACCCUAGGAUUCCUAAGGGUACAAAUCUGUAUGCAAGAGAAUCUUAUGCCUCACAACCUCAGCAUGUGGGUCUGUAUGCAAGAAAAGCUUAUGUGUCACCACCUCGACCAGCAGCACUACCUCCACCAGUACCUGCACCUAUUUAUGCUCAUGAUCAACGAGUGGAUGAUUACUAUUACAGGAGAGGUCCAGUGUUGGAGACACAUGAUUAUAGGACCAUGGAUGUGGAAAUGAGGCUGCGAGCUCCUAUUGAAUACCGUGAUCCCUACAGUUUGUACAGAGAGCUUGUUCCGUACCGAGAAACUCCAUACACUGCAGGCCAGGAAGCUCAAUACUCUGCAGGGUUACAGGCUUCAUAUGCACCUUUCCGCUCCCGCUAUUAAGGUCUGAGUAACAAUCUAAUUGCUUGCUGAGCAGGAUUCUGCUUAUGGUGGAGUAAGCAGUAUCCUGGUGGUGCAAUGGUGCUGGUUGUAAUCUAUGCAAAAUCUUAGUGUUGAUGCCAUAGAUUCAUUGCAGCAGCAUACCCUUUUGGCCUGGUAGCAUUUCUUUAGAUGUUGACUUUAUACCAGCAAUGAUGUCGACUUGGUGUUGGGCUGUUAUGAAUGGGUUAUCCGGACAGGUGCCACUAUCGUCAAUAUUCUAGUUUGGCUAUCCUUUAUUUACUUGUCUUUGUAUUGGUUAUUGAGGAAAAACAUAAUGGAGGGUAUCAAGAGUAGUUCUGGAGUUUCAUAAAUCAUGGAGAGGGGACUCUGCAGAUGAAACUAAACACCUCGUUUGGUUGCUUGUAAAAUAUUAAUCCCCAUCAAACUGGUCCUUCUAUGUUUUCUGACUUUAUGAUUUUUUUUUGGAUUUUCACUUCCAUGACUGAUGGCCAAUGAUGGACAGAUUGAGUGCUUUUGCUGAUGUAUCUUAUCUGUGAUGUGUGAGGCUUUGACUCUAAUGUUCAGACUACCUUCGGAAGA